UCAUUUCAUAUAAUUUUUCAGUUUUAGAAUUUCCACUUGGUUCUGAUUUAUAGUUUCUAUUUGUUUAUUUAAUUUUCUAUUUUGCUCUGUUAUUAUGGUCAGAUUUUCCUUUAAAUACUUGAAUGUAUUUAUAAGAGCUCUUUUAUAAUCCUUUUUUAUUCAUUCAAUUUAUUCAGCUAUAUCUGGGCCAGGUUCUGUUGACUAACUUUUCUCUUGGUUAUGGGUCAUAUUUUCAUGCCUCUAUGUAUAGCUAAAGUUUUGGAUUGCAUACACACACAUACUCCUACAAACACAUAAGGGAAUCUUCUUCAGACUUCAUAAAGACUAAAUUCCAAUCUCUAUAUCUCACCUCAUUGAUUUAGAGGAGAAAAUCAAAUUAUCGGACCUUGGAGAUCAAACCCUCUCAGGCUGCUAAGAAAAAGAAACAGAAAAUGAAAGACUGUUUUCUCUACUUUACCUACAACCAUAAACACAUUUGAUUCUGAAAUGUGAAUAUGAACAAAGCGAAGUUUCUGUCUUCUAAGAAAAUUACUAGUAGGAUCUACUUCUCAAGAAUACAAGAUGCACAUAUUAUCAUUAGAAUUUUUUUGUCAAGAACAAGGGAAAUUUAUGAGUAUUCAUUAUCCAAUGGUCUGGAUCCCCCAGCUUUUCCCCUGAUAUCCCAAGACAAUUGGAUACAAAGAGAAAACACUGGCAAUAUAAUGAUGAGUGAAGAGAAAGUAGAACUGCACAGACUAGGUAAGUGUAAACUGAGUUCUUGAACCGAAAAGAUGCCUGAUGAGAAUAUAGGUUUAGAUCCCAGUUUGACUGCAGAUAGAAACCAAAAGCAAAAUCACAAUAGUGCGUGCAGGU
rnacentral:lncRNA from 1 species